AUUGAACGCUGGCGGCAGGCCUAACACAUGCAAGUCGAGCGAGCGGCGGACGGGUGAGUAAUGUAUGGGGACUGCCCGAUAGAGGGGGAGAACUACUGGAAACGGUAGCUAAUACCGCAUACUAUCGGAUACCCCAUAUGGGAUUAGCUAGUAGGUGAGGUAAUGGAUCACCUGGGCGACGAUCCCUAGCUGGUCUGAGAGGAUGAUCAGCCACACUGGGACUGAGACACGGCCAAGACCCAUACGGAGGCAGCAGGGGGGAAUAGUGCACAAGGGUGGAAACCCUGAUCCAGCCAUCCCGCGUGUAUGAUGAAGGCCUUCGGGUUGUAAAGUACUUUUGGCAGAGAAGCGGUAUCUGCAGAAUAAGCACCGGCUAACUACGUGCCAGCCGCCGCGGUAAUAC
rnacentral:rRNA from 1 species